rnacentral:lncRNA from 1 species
AUUAGUUGUCAUCGGUUCGAAGAAUGCAUAACCAAGCAUUGUGGAUUUCUUCCCCAAGACAUUUGUAAAAUCAUUGAUGACAAAAACAGCAAGCCUCAUGAAGUCAGCUAUGAUGCAAUACGUCGACAACUACAUUGUUUUCAAGAAAUGACUAAAUCGGGAGAUGUUCUCCUAUUCUACUAUGCUGGACAUGGAAUUCUUGAAAAAGGUUACCCAGCUCUUGCCAUGUAUGAUAACUUGACUAUCACAGGUAAAACUCGUAAAAUGUAGGUUUUUAUUUUUGCAACCACAAUUAGAUCUACGGUGAACUUAUACAUUCUAUUUAAACCCACGAGCCACUAUAUUGGCCAAACUUUUUUUUAACAUUUUUUCACUUUUUUUUUAAACAAUUUUUCACUUAAAAAAAGAGAAGAUGGGUCAAACAUGAUUUUGAAGAAAUUCUACAUUUAUUAAAGUACUUUUUUUAUGAAGAAAAACAUUAAAAAAGUACUUGAAACAGGAUUUGCAAUGACUUGUCACCUUAUACCCAACCAGCACCAUGUAUCUAUUAUUUUAAUAUUUUUACAUAUUGGUAUAUUAUUAUUUGUUUUUGACGGAAUUGCUGGGAACAUCAUUUUUAUUCAUUUAUGUUUUUUGCUAAAUUCUGGCAGCAUAACCAGCAUUAUCAUAUAUUUUAAACUUAUA